GACGAAUGCUGGCUGCGUGCUUAACACAUGCAAGUCGAACGAUGAAAGCGGGAGCUUGCUCCUGCUGGAUUAGUGGCGAACGGGUGAGUAACACGUGAGUAACCUGCCCUUGACUCUGGGAUAAGCGUUGGAAACGACGUCUAAUACCGGAUACGACCUUCGGAGGCAUCUCCUGGGGGUGGAAAGAAUUUCGGGCAAGGAUGGACUCGCGGCCUAUCAGCUAGUUGGUGAGGUAAUGGCUCACCAAGGCGACGACGGGUAGCCGGCCUGAGAGGGUGACCGGCCACACUGGGACUGAGACACGGCCCAGACUCCUACGGGAGGCAGCAGUGGGGAAUAUUGCACAAUGGGCGAAAGCCUGAUGCAGCAACGCCGCGUGAGGGACGACGGCCUUCGGGUUGUAAACCUCUUUUAGUAGGGAAGAAGCGAAAGUGACGGUACCUGCAGAAAAAGCACCGGCUAACUACGUGCCAGCCGCCGCAGUAACAC
rnacentral:rRNA from 1 species